UCCUGCCUGCUUCUCACCCACAGUUUAGACAUUUGGGGUGACCAUCUGCUCUUUCUCUCUGUGGUGAUCAUACCAGCACACAGGACCUGUUCCAGUGCAAGGCCGGUCUGAGCAGAGCAGUGCUCCUGCUGUGGGCUGCACGGAGCACUUCAGCCAGUCCCAGAAUUUCCUGAGCUGCCCGGGGACACGUUCAGAGCUCAACUCUGACACCAGGAGUCUCUUUUCCUCCAGGAGCUGUGCCUUCUACUGCUCCAGCCAUGGGUCAGUCCUCCUCUUCCUCUUCCACACCCUCUCCUACAGAGGGUGGUGAUUUGAUCUCCAGCUUUGACAAGUUUUUUAAGGACUUCAAACUAGAAAGUGAAAUGCUCUCUCAGGAAGCCAUCACAUUGAUUCAGUCACACCUGGAGAAGGGGGACCUUCAGAGAGCAGUUUCUGCAAUUAAUGAUGCACUGAGAGACAUUGACAAUGCCCCUCUGAACAUUGCUGUGAUAGGGGAGUCUGGGGCAGGGAAGUCCAGCUUCAUCAAUGCCCUGCUGGGAGUCGGGCAAGACGAUGAAAAUGCUGCCCACACUGGGCCAGUGGAGAUAACCUUGGAGAGAGCCAAAUACGAAUACAAAAAGUUUCCCAAUGUGAUGUUAUGGGACCUGCCUGGCCUGGGAACCACUCUACUUCCAUGGCAUGAGUAUCUACAGAAAAUGAAAUUUGGGCAGUAUGAUAUCUUUAUUAUCAUCUCUGCUGUACACCUCAAAAUGAAUGAUUUGGAUCUGGCUAUAGCAAUUAGGAAAAUGAAGAAGCAUUUCUAUUUUGUCCGAACUAAAGUGGACCUUGAUUUAAAUCAUCUAAGAACCUCUAAACCCAGCACAUUCAAUAGGGAUGAAAUCCUGCAAAGGAUCCGCAAUGACUACGUGACUCAUUUGGAGAAUGUUAAUAUGGGUGACACUCAGAUCUUCUUAGUCUCCAGCCUUGAAUUGUCUGACUAUGAUUUCCAACACCUAGAGACCACGCUUCUGAGGGAGCUCCCAACCCACAAGCACCAAAAGCAGCACAUCUUCAUGCAAUACCUGUCAACUGUUGCUGAGGCUGCCAUUGACCAGAGAAGGGAUUCCCUGAGACAGAAGGUCUGGUUGGACGCCCUGAAGGCUGGAGUUUUGGCGACCAUACCUUUCAUGAGUUCGAUCAUUGAUAUUGAUGUGGUGAAGCUGGAGGAAACUUUAAGCUUCUACAGGUCUCACUUUGGGCUGGAUGAUGCAUCCCUAGAAACCAUAGCCAAGCACUUGAACGUGUCAAUAGGGAAACUCAAGAUGAACCUCAGGUCUCCCCAUUUGCUAUCAGUUGAGAAGGAUGAGGAGUCAUUAGAGAAAAAAUUGUUGACAUAUGUGGAAAAAUCCAGAGCAGAAUUUAGUGGAGGACUCAUUGUCACUACUAUGUAUGUUCAGAAUAUUUUCUAUUUGAAAAUUUAUUUCCUUGAGUGUGUGGCAAAUGAUGCUAAAGUUCUUCUUAGAGAAGAGAAUUUUAAGGAUGUUGUGGGCUCUGGACAAGCCUCUCUACUUCAGCAUGUCAGGAAUGAUAAUGGGAAAAGUGAAGCAACCAGUUCCUGAUUCUUCUCAGUGUUGUCCUGGUAGCUGGUGCCUGGAACAUUGACUUCAGGCUCCGUUGAAGCAGUCCUGUUCCACUGCCCUCAAGGUGUAUCACGGAUAUUUCCAUAAUAUACUCUUGAACAAACUACCCACUUAGUGACUAUUAUUUGAUAGUAAGAGCAAUCAGCUCUAAAGAAUCCUUCCUUCAGAUGAUCUUAGUCCUUGUAUGAUGGUUACUUCAUAGCCAGCACUGGUCUUUCUACUGACAUCUACUAAAAAAUGGCUGUGCACACAGUAGUUCCUCAAAAGUGAUUUUUAAAUGAAUGCAUACCUAGUGCAUCUUGGUGUUCCUGACAUUUUGCUGGGAAUGCAUACAUUCUGAUCAUUAAUAGAUUCUCAAUUAAGGUGACUGAUAUCCUCCUUGUCCUUUCUAGACUUAUCAUUUUAUUUAAGAACAUAACAGAUGGUGAGCUGAACAUGUGUCACCAGAAAUGAAAGAGAAACAUCAGCUAAGGAAAACCGUUAUCUGGGGAGCCCUGUUGCUGGCUGUCAUGUUGUCACACUUGGCCAUGGAUGUCCUGGCAUGUCAUGGGGUCAUAUCUCAUGAGCAACUUAAACUACCAGGAGGGACUCUGAGGAAAUUGACAAGACAAUCAGAUGGUGAGACACAAAGAGGGAGGAAGAGCCAGAUUUCUAAGACUUAAAUAGAAGAUCAAGAGGAAAAUACCAAAGUUUCUUUGGAAGAAGAAGCCCCCUAUGUUGCUGUAUCAUGUGAGGCUUAUUUCCAUGCUAUAGUAUCUAAGACAGUUGGAUGCUGGCACAGGGGUAGACCAACUGGCCCACAGAAAGAGACAUACAGUCUUGUAUAAGAUUCAGGCAUGUGUGGAAUUCUGUUGCUUGGGAGAUGUACAUGGGGUGUCAGUGGGUAUAGAAGGCACCAUCUAGUAAAUAGAGCUGACAAAACUGUUCUCCAUAUGGACAGAGGUUUACUGAAUCUCUGCUUACAUCAUUUAUGAUAAUCAACUCCACAUGGAUUUAAGACCUUAAUUUCAAAUGGAAACCAUAGCUGUUCAUAGGGAUAAAUUUCUUAAAGGAGAUGAUACCAGAAUAAAGAUACCAAGAAGACAGCUGUAUAAAACAGACUAACCAACGUGAUACCUUUGACUCUAUUAAAAUGAAAAGCUUCUCUUCAUGAAAGUAAAUGCAAAACAAAGUUUCAAAAUCUCCAUGAAUCUGAAGAUCAUAUUAGCAAAAAUGUAGUGAACUAAGGAUCAAUUGAAAGGACGUGUCUUAAAAAUUCCAGAAAUCGCUAAAAAAAUAAGGUCUAACAAUCCAUUAUUGGAAGUGAGCAAAAGACAUGCACAGAACUUUCUCAAGAAAUAAACAUGUGAAAAAAAUAAUAAACAUGUUUGGGGAAAAAAAAGGGAAAGUGCCACAGAUUAAGCAUGAAUGAGGCAAAUGUAAAAUUGUGCAGUAUUUGAUGACAUUCUAUUGGAAAAUUUAAAAAUUUGUACAAAAUUGGAUAUUGGUGACAAUGUAGAUAGAAUCUCUGAAAUAUAGCUGCAGGGAAUGUAAAUCAAUACAAUCACUUUGAAGAAAAAAUA